CUCUUACAGCACAAAUCUAGAUAAUUUCAGCAUGAAAAUCAAAAAUGAUAAUUUAUUCAAGAAUGACACAUUGAGCAAAAUAAAGAUCCAUGACUUUCUCCGGAUAUAAAUAUAUGAAUAAAUGAAGUAGCAGGGAAAGCUCUUCAUUACAUAAAAAAAGAGAAACAUAAAAACAAAAAGUAAUACAGUUGCAACAUCACCAUUUUUCAGCUAUUGUAGUAAUGACUGGUUUAUGCAGGAAUCAUCAAUGAGUGUUAUAGGUAUUGAAUGAAAUUUUGACAAACAACAAGAGAUUUACAUAGCCUCAAAAUAUUUUCCCAGAAAAUGAUUACUAAUUAUAAUUUAACACUUUGUGACCAUGAACACUUCCUUUGUUAUCUCUGAGAGAUUUUCCUCACCCUCAUAAUGGAAAUACUCACAUAUGUUUGCAGGUCCUCUGAGAUAUAAAUACAGGAACCACUAAAGCGUCUAAAAGUAACUGACAGACAUUAGACGCUCAAUAAAUGCUCAUCUAGUUUCUCUUUUCUAAACAGGAGCAAAGAUCAGACAACUCUGACUAAUUAGAAUUUCAGGAGAAAAAAAAUCAACUCAUCUGGAACUGGGUCAGGGUCUCCUUCUCUGGGGAAAGUGUGGAGAAGACAGAGAGCAAGUGGGGAAGAAAGAAGCCACAGUGAGCAGACUAGCCCACAUCAGGCAGUCCAGGCUUCAGGAAGGAAGUGAACAUUUGACUCCACCGAGACAUCAGCCCCCUUACCUGAGCCAUUGUUUUCUCUCUUACCCACCCAAAAAGGUCUGUUGCUCCUUUCCCACCCUCGACUCUUCCGUAACUGCCACCUCUUGACUCAACCUUUUGGCUUAAGCUCCCUCUACUGUCUCCCUCUGUCACUCUCUGUGUGGUUGUGGUAACUCCUCCCAAGUCACCCUCUUUCUGGGCCAGAAAGUCCUGGGAGAAUGCAAACCCGGGAGUUCCAAAGUCUUCUCUCUUCCCAAACUCUCCAGGUUCUCACUUGAAUUUGUUGAAAGAGGUCUCAGGUCAGAGGGGUUUCCUCUCAGAAUCUAUUCUUGCUGCUUAGGGUGCUUCCUCCUCCCCCACUCUCUAGAAUCUGCGUUUUCCCUUAGCACAGGGAAUGUGCAUGCAGAGACAACACUACGUGGGGGGAAAUUUACUCUGAGGACCAACAUUCACUCUCUCUUCACCUGCCAAAUGAUGAGUGCUUACUCUACAAAAUAAAGGGUCACAGCUCUGGUCAUUUCAGAUUCGGAAAUUAACAGCCCAGUCUCCUCCACUGAGGCUCCAGCAAAUGGCCUUGACAGGAGGGUCCUAGCAGGCUCUGCCCGCUGACAGACGCCCCGGAGGCUCUACAGAGGGCUGGGGACUCCUGACGACAUGGCCUGAGGUGCAAGGAGGCUCUGGGAGUGGAAGUGGCUGGAAAAGGCUGUUCUGGGGACAGGUCAGUAGGACGCACCCCGGCCUCUAGGAGCUCAAGACUAAUGCGUCACGUCACAGCGACAUUCGCCUUCUGCGGAUAGUAAAGAUCUUAUAAAGUUGUUUUGAACUUGGCUUAUUAGUCUCUCUUCACCUUACACUUUGACAAUCCCCUGAACAACAAUAACGCGCCGCUCUCUCAAGACCCAGGAUGGGUCUCAAGCGGGGAAAACGCGGAGAACGGGUAGUUACGGGACUUUCAACUGGCCAGGGAGCAUGCGCAGUGCGCUCUUCUUGGCGCGUGCGCACACGCGGGCUCAGUUCCCCAGUCGCGCCGCGACCCUGCCGAGCUUUUCCUUCCGCUACCGCUGCACAGCGUCUCUCGCUUCGAUGACUCAGGCCGGCUCGCAUCCCCCGUGGUAGCUCGGUGGACUACAAUCCCCAAAUGCGCUCGCGCCUUCCGCUUCCUCCGCCUGCUUAUCCCGGUUCUGGGCUCUGGUUGUGGGGCGAGUCGGGGUUGCUGUGCUGUGGCAAAAAGGGGCUUGAUACUGCCCCUUUCAUGUUUCAAAUCCUCUUAUUUUGACUCUUGCCAACUACCGAAGGGAAAACUUGUGUUCUUUGUUGUGUAAACAUAUUGAGUAUGCAUUUAUGUUCAUACUGUUUAUUUAAAUAUAUUUUCACAUUAUUUGCCCGUUUUUCUGUCGGGGUUUUGCUUGCUGUAUUUAAAUACAAACUUUAUAUAUUCAAAUCUACUUUUUCUUUAUUCCUUUUUAUUUUAUGGCUAAAAACCAGGAACCUUUUAAUUUUAACUGAUUACAAGGGUAAAUAUUCAUUUCUUUUCUUUUUGUUGUUGCAGUUGAUUUGAAAUACCUCGUUCAUGGGCUUUCUUUUCAUAGCAGGCUGGCACAACUGCUGCCAAUUACAGUGCAUUUCUGAAAGUUACAGCUCUACCUUUUCCAAGGCAGCUUUUCUCCUUAUAUAAUGGAGAUAAGACAGGAAAGACAGAGUGGAUCUCAAAGAAAAUUGAAACGAUAAAAGGGUGUGAAAUGACAGACUAGACUUCUUAACGUUUAUGCACAAAUUUUUCCCAUAGUAUCUCCAUCAUUGCCCACUCCAAUUCCAUUCCAUUUCCACUCUUUCUCAGUGACGAGAAUAUAAAAACUAAACACUUUCUCUUCUCAUGCCUGUGUGUCCAGCCAUCUUGUUAACCUACAUCUGUUUUGCUGGCCAAUUCAUAUUUAAUUUCUUAUGAUUUAGCACAAUGAUUUUUACUGACACGAUUUAUUUAACAAAGGAUAUUCAAGAACAUUUGAUCUUUACAAAAUAUAGUACCUUAUACUUCUUUGUAUUUUUUUCUGUUUAAUCUAAUAAAAUCCCUUAUGUUAUAACAACGAAUUUUCUUCCAGAUCAAAAUUACUCAUUAAGAAUCUUUGGCACUGUUCUUCUCAGAAGAAACUGACAUUACCAGUCCCAGCCAAUGAGACUUACAACUAACAAAUUCUAGUAAUAUUCCAGUGCAGAUGUGGAUGGCUUCAUGAAGUAGAUUUCUAAACUUAGGUCAGGGAACAAACAGGUGACUUUAAGAUAGAUUCUUAUUCGGCAUCCCACAUGGCACAACUGGAAGGACCCACAGCUAAAAAAGUAAAAAAUAAUAAAAAAAUAAAAGAGAUAGAUUCUUAUUAAUGAUUAUGUGACUGGAUGGGUAUAUUGGCUAAUGCUAUGGUGGUAAUCAUUUUGCAAUAUAUGUGUAUCAAAUCAGCAUGCUGUACACCUUAAACUUACGUAAUGUUAUAUGUCAAUUAUAUGUCAAUAAAUCUAGGGAAAAAAGAUAGAUCUUUACCCUAUGGCUAGUGAGAAAGAACAAGUGACAUUUUUGUAUUUAUCGUCUGUCUCCCUAAACUAGAAUGUUAUCUCUAUGAGAUUUUAUUUAUUCACUACUGCUCUCCUGUACCUGAAACUGUGCCUUGCCCCUUGUAGGCUCUUAAUAAAUAAUUUAGAAUAAAUGGACUUUACCUUUGCUGUAUAUAAAAAAGUGUCAACCCAAGCUUAGUGGCUUAAAAUAAAGCAAUAGCUAUCAUUUUAUUAUUAUCUCUCGUGGUUCUAGAAGUUUGUUGGGCUUGGUUCUAGAAGUUGUUCUUGCUCCAGGUCUCUCAUGUGAUUGCAGUCAGAUUGGUGGCUGCAGCUGAAGUCAUCGGGACGUCUUCCUCAAUCACAUGUCUGAAAGUUGAUGCUGGAUAUCAGCAGAUCAGCAGCAUUGUCAGCCAGAAGAAUCAUAUAAGGCCCUCCUAUGUUGCCUGCACUUUCCAAUAGCUGGUGAUUAGGUUCCAAGAGCAAACAUCUCUAGGAAACUAGGAGGAAGUAUGUGCAUUUUCAUGAAGUAGCCUUAGGAGUCACAUAGCAUCACUUCUAUAAUGAAGUACCAUCCAUGUUGAAGGGGAGAGGUCAUAAUCCCUAUCACUUGAUGGAAGGCGUCUCGAUUCCAUAUUUUAUGAGUAUAUGGGAUAAAAUAUAUUGUUACAGCCAUCUUAGGAAAAUUCAGUCAGCCACAAGGGCUGACCACCAACAAACUACAGUUCAUAAUCACGUAUGAGACUCUCUCAGAUACUCUGAAAAAUAAGUUAGAGAAGCUUUAAAGUGGGAUGACAAUGCUCUGAUAGCUCAUGAGUCAUGUGGUAAAGAUGGAGAACCAUAUUAUAGAUGUUUUAUAAAUGUUGUCAUGGUCGUGCAGAGAUACUGACUUCUCUAGUGUCUGUAGAGAUCAUCCAGGUGGAUGGGGGCAAUCAGGACAUGGAGCAAGCAGAUGUCUGGUUCCCCUCCCUCUACUUUAAUCAGAGCACCUGCACUUUUAAUUUGUUUGUGUAAACACAGAACUCUGGUUCUGUGUAGUGAUUCACCUGAAGGGAACCAUUCUGCUGCUUAACAGGUUGGUAUAGACGUGCAAAUAUACUGCAUUUGUGUUGAUUUCGGCUGCUGCCAAUAUUUUUUGUUUGUUUUUGUCAUUUUCAGAGAAUUUGACGGGAAAUAUUGAGGGAGAAUUUUAAAAAAAUGAAUCACAAUUACAUGACAUUCAUGCAACCACAUACCCUUUCAGAUAUGUUCCCUCUGAUCCCUCUUCUCCACGUAUCCUUCUGGCUGCCACUGUCAGUUGGAUUUAGCACAUUAAAAAAUAACUGUUGCGGCCGGCCUGGUGGUGUAGUUGUCAAGUUCACAUGCUCUGCUUUGGUAGCUUAGAGUUCACAGUUGCAGAACCCAGGCAGACCUAGCACUGCUCUCAAGCUACACUGUAGCAGCAUCCCACAUAAAAUAGAGGAAGACUGCACAGAUGUUAGCUCAGGGCCAAUCUUCCUCAAACAAAACAAAACAAAAACUUCUGUUUACAUGAAUGUCAUUGUUUAUUAAGGUUUCUGUCUCCUAGAACCACCUAACAUUCAUACAAAUCAUCACAUGCCACAUUCCUGUCAGUCUCUCAUUUCUGAGAAGGAGGCAAAGGAUCCAUUCAUUUUUCUUAUUGGAUGCUGCUUCAGCAAAGAUUUAUGAAUAAUUUCUUUAUUAUUGACCACAUAAGUAUGAAUAACAAAGAAUUGUGUUAUAGGCCAAAGGAGCAAAACAAUACUAAGCAUCAGUCCUGUAUUAAGACAGAGUAAACUUAUGCAUGGUAAUACGUGUCAUCUAAAUAUCAGUGACUUAAGACAGGAAUUAUUUCUUUUCAUGCAGUGUUAGCCUAGCUCAGACCAGACAUUAGGUCUACUCUCUUCCACAUGGGAACUCAACCAUGCAGGCUUCUUUGAUCUUGUGCCUCCAGCAUCUCAGUAUAUAGCCUCAACAUGGGGAAGAAAGAGACUAAAAUUUGAAUAAGAGCUAUUCACUACCACAGCCAAUGGGUGAUCCUUCAGAUCCCUGUCCAUUGAUGAGAACUAGACUGUGUCCCCACCUAAGUGCAGGGGACUGUAAUUGUCCAUGUGUCCAGGAAGGAGAGGAGAGCUUGACACAAAAAAUGCCUAUGGUGGUAUUAAAUGUUGUCAAGGUUUUUGCAAUCCUUUUGGAAAGUAAUGAGAACAUUCUUUGAUUCAGUAAUUUUAUGUUUGGAGACCUGAAAAACUAAUCUGAAGAAACUACCCCCACCCCAAACAACACAAGGCAUCUUCUUUGACUUCCCAUAACAACCUGGACAUUAAUCUGCCAUAGUUCACAUCACAUUAUUUUAUCAUCAUGUGUUUUUUUGUCUGACCUUCAUACUAGAUUGUUUUUGACUCUCAAGCCAUAGAGAUGUAUAAAGUUAAUGAACAAUGUAAGUUGAAGAAUAAAUAUCUAUAGUGGGAGCCAUUUAUAAGUAACAAAACCCAGUCUGCACUUGUCAUGGCUUAGAUAUGUAGAGCUGGUAGAGAAGUCUCUGAGAUGCCAUGUAAGAAAAUAUUUCACAUAAGAGUUUAGUCUUCAAUUAUGUUUGAAAAAUUAAUAAAUGAUAUGGACUGAAAGGAAGGAUGAUAUUAGAUGCUGCCUUUACCUAGAUCUUCUAAUGCACGGGAACUGGCUGGUUCAGUGAACCACCACUGACCAAUGUAUAUCUACAGACUCAAGUCAACCAGCAGCAGGGUCUAGAACUGCUCUUGUUGUCCUUUGUCUGAUUUCUAGUGGAUCCUGAGAGGGAGGGAGGUGGGGGUACACACAGGUAUUAACAUAUGGCAUCCUUUAUCCUUCCCACCACCCUCACCUCAGGUUCUGACUUGCAUGUCAACUUACCCACUCAUCUUAAAUUCUUAAAGGCUCUUCAAUCUGUGUAGUUGUUCCUGGCUCCCUGGGAUUGUGGUCUUGCCUUCCAAUAGCUUGGAUUCCACACUAUCGAGUCAGAUCAUUGGGAACCGUGAUAGUACCUCUGGUCUGACUCUGGGUAUUAUAAUUAUUUGAUGGCACCUGCUAUCUUCCUGUGUCCUAGACAGCAGUAGGUUCCCCCUUUGUAUAAUCAUUGCUACAGAACCCUACUGGAAGCCAGAGAGGGCUAAAUAGUCUGAAGAGGUUUAGGGUGUGCAAGACUGAAUGGGUAAGUUGGCAUGCAGAUCCAAGUCUGAUUCCAAUUCACUCAACAUCCACAUUGGUCUCUAUGCCCAGCCCCUAAAUACCCUUCUCUUCCCCACCAGUCUAGCCCGGAGUUCCUGGCAUGAGUCUAAGGGAACAUACCUGAAAUAUAGGUAGUGUGAUUCCAGGUACAUCACAGAACGUAAGACGGAACAGAGAUGAGAAUGCAUAUGGUAUAUAUAGAAGUGGUAAUAGACUAGAGAGAGUGGAGCAAAUGGUUUCCAUUGGAGAUGGUACAAGUUCAGGCUUGAAAGGAAGGUGGGAGCUAUGUUAUGGAAUUCCUUGGAUGCUAAGUUAACAGAGUAUGAAAUUAUCCCAUACAGAAGAAGUUACUCUUGUGCAGUUUGAAGAACCUGAGAUUGUUAGCAAUCUCAGCUCAGGUCUUUUAAACUUGGCUCUAUCACUUAUUCCAUGUUUGAUAGUCCAAAUGGCUAAUUUUCUAAACUUCGUUUUCCCCCUCCAAAUUGAACACACCCUUCUUGCUAAGUUGUUGUGAGAUUAGAGGUAGUAAAUCUAAAAGAAUGAGCACAGUGCCUGAUAGAGAGCAAGUAUUUUUAUUGGGCUAAAUUAUCACUACAAAUUUGGGAGAAUGUGUUAAUAGUGGUAUUUUAGGAAGAAUAACUUGACUGCUUACUGGAUGGGAUUGUAGCUGCAGCAUAUUACAAAAGCAAGGAGAAUCCAUCAAUAUAUCAAUAUGAUAAUAAAAGAACCAAGUUCUGGACUAAGACAGAGCCUAUUGAAAGGAAAAAGGAGGGAAAAAAAAGCAGUGCUGUGUACAUGUGACCCCCAAGUGUCAAGCCUACUUAAUUGACUGAAUGUUAGGGCUAAAGAAGCAGGUUUGUGGUGAAGAUGAGACUUAACUUUAGAAGUGGAGCAUUUGACAUCAAAACUCUGAAUCCAAGAGGAUGUGCAUACCUAACUCCUAUGCCUGAAGCAUACAAAGGAAGUUAAUGUUUGGAUUUGGGAAUUUUCUGCAUAGAAGUCAUACUGAAAACAGUGAGCGGUUAAGAUCUGUUCCAAGCACAAAACACAUUCUUCUAAAGGUCAGGAGAGAGAAAACCGAUAUACACAUAUCCCGGGCUUGAAGUAGUAGACACAGAUGCACACACAUACACAUUUCUCAGGAAUGCACUGAUACUCCCCUCUCUAAAGAAGUGGCAGCAGGUCCAUACACUUCCGAAAUCACUGCUCCAGGAUCCAUGCUUGUGAUUUUCCGAUGUCACCACCAGGUGGAGCCCACGCUUCACUACAUCUCUUCUGCUUUUGGAGAUGAGCUCAGUUCACCAAGAAAUUCAGGGCUAUUUACUGUCUACUAGACUGAAGAAAUUUUGCAUGGUAAUUUAGAUAGAAUUUGUAAAAACUUGUAAAAGAAGUACUAUAGGUCUCCCAUAUUUCCCUAGAACAUGGGCCAAUUAUCAGACAGAGCUGUUAGCAACCUUCUUGGAGUACUUAAUUUGAGCAAAUUAAUAACUAAUUCUGUUUUCUGAUGUCACUUUUGUUUAGAUUUGCUUGUCUUGCAGAAACUUCACAUUCUCCCAAUGAGAAGUUUAUUAACUACUACUUUAAUGAUAAACAGCAUGAAUGUCAGGAAAAAUAGCAUUUAGUUAUUUUUAAGGCAAAAUUAAAUCAUCUGCUCUGAACAUUCUAAUUUCAGAGAGGAGAAGAGGGGAGAGAAGGGGAAAGGAGGUGACAGGAAAGGAGAGAAGAGGAGAGGGAGAGAAUGACAUUGGUAAUGUGGUGCCAUCAUCACCUAGUUGGUGAUGUCCCUUGGGAUUUCCUCAGGAUCACUUUACUUACUUAUUGAACUUUUUAUUCAAGUAAAAUAGACAUACAAAAGUGCAUGCAUCAUAAGUAUGCAGCUCUAUAAAAGUUAACAGCACCCUUGACACUUCCCUUAAUAUAAACUCGUAUCAUACAAAAUAUACUCUUGUGUGUUUCACUUCCUUUGAUGGAUAUUGAGAUUGUGAAGCUAGUUCUUAUUGUGGGUGAACAGUUAUUGUUCCUAUAUUCUCAUAGCUGUAUAGUAUUUCGUUGUGUCAAUACAUCACAGCUUAUUUAUCCAUUCAGCUGAUAAUGGAUAUUUGGGUAGUUUCAAAUUCUUUACCAUUACAAUUAGUGCUGCUAUGAACAGUCUUGUAUAUCUUUUUGUGAAUGCAUUCAUGCAUUUAUGUUCAGUAUAUAAAUAAGGUUAGAACUGCUGUAUUAUGCAUUUGUUCAAUUUUAGAGAAUAUUGCUAAAUACUUUUCCAAAAUUAUUAUGUCAAUUUGCAUUCUAAUCCACAGAAUAUAAAAGUUCCAGUUGUUCUAAAUCCUUGCUAAUACUUAGUAUUUUUGCUCCUUUUCAAUACAGCAAUUCUAGUGAAUAUAUUUUGUGAUUUUAAUAUACAUUUCCUUGAUAGCAAAUAGAGUAUAGCAUUACUUCAUAUGUAUAUUUACAAUUUUGAAACUUUGUUUUUGAGCACUGUUUACUUCUUUUCAUCAUUUUUAUUGAAUUGCCUUCCUCUUUUCUUAUUGAUUUAUAAUAUAGUAUUUUUAUAUAUUCUGGAUAUAAAUCAUCUGUAAGAAAUUAUAUUUUACAAAUAAUUUCUCUCAAUCCAUAGAUCUUAUUUUCACACUCUUAUUGAGGUUUUUUGAUAAACUGAACUUCUUGAUUUUAAUAUAGUCUAUAUUAUAUAUAUAUUAUAUAUAGUCUAUAUUUAAUAUAGUCUAUAUAUCAUUGCCCCUUUAUAUUUUUUAGCUGUGAGUCCUUCUAGUUGUGGCAUGUGGCAUGCUGCCUCAGCAUGUGUUGAUGAACGGUACCAUGUCCGCACCCAGGAUCCGGGGGCCAAAACCCUGGACCACCGAAGUGGAGUGUGUGAACUUAACCACUCAGCCAUGGGGCUGGCCCCCUACCAUUUUAUCUUUUGUUUUCUGGAUGCUCUAUAUUUCCAUUGUUUCUUUUUACUUGUAUUUCUGUCUGCCAUUUCAGUUUGGUAGUUUUCUGUCAGUUGUUUUCAAUUUUCUCUUGAUGAUUUGUAACUCUGCUCUGGUUUUUUGUUUUGUGGUUACCAUGAGAUUUGUAUAAAAUAUCUCAUAGAUGAGAUAGUCCUUUUUUCUGAUAGCCUCUUAUCUCCAUUAGCCUAUGCAAGUUCCAUCCCUUUCCUUUUCCCUUCUAUGUUUUUGUUGUCUCAAAUAUUUUUUUGUGCUGUGACCAAAUUGAAGUGGUUAUAGUUAUUUUUGAUGCUUUCUUUCCCUUUAUCCUUUUUGGUAUAAUUAUGUGUUUACUAACCUAUUCUGAUAUGGAGCUGCAAUUUUCUAAUUCUGUUUAUUUAUCUCAUUGGCCAAUGCUUUGUAAAACUUUGCCUUUUUGUUUCAAGUAGGAGGGCACCUUUCAUCAUUUCUUGUAAGGCAGUUCUAGUGGUGAUGAACUCUCUCUGCUUUUGUUUCUCUGGGAAAGAUUUUAUUUUUCCAUCAUAUCUGAAGAAUAAUCUUGCUGGCUAGAGUACUCUUGCCUAAUAGUUUUUGCCUUUCACUAUUUUGAAUAUAUCAUUCCACUCUUUCCUAGCCUGUAGGGUUUCUGCUGAGAAAUACUCUGAAUGCCUGACUGAGGUUCUCUUUAGGUUAUUUUCUUGUCUCUUGCUGCCCUCAAUAUUGUUUCUUGGUCAUUGACUUUUGACAGUUUAAUAUUAUAUGUUUUGGAAAAGGUCUCUUUGCACUGAGAUAAUUAUAAAUUCCAUUUAUUUAAUGUACUUGUAUGUCCAGUUCCUUCCCCAGGUUUGGGAAGUUCUUCACUAUUAUUUCUUUCAAUAAGCUCUCUGCUCGUUUCUUCCUCUCUUCUCCUUCUGAGACACCUAUAAUCCUUAUGUUACGUUUCCUCAUUGAGUGGGAUAUUUCUCAAAGAAUUUCUUCAUUUUUAAAAAAUAUUAGUUCUCUUUUCUUGUUCAUCUGAAUCAUUUCUAGGUUUCUUUCUUUGAGGUUACUAAUUCUCUCCUCCAUAUGUUCUGCUCUAUUUUUAGUGCUUUCUAUAUUAUUUUUCACCUCAUUAAUUGUGUUAUUUAUCUCCAUAAUUUCUGUCUGAUGUUUUUUCAGAGUUUCAAUUGCCUUGGUGAAGUACUCCUUCUGGUCAUUAAUUUUACUCCUCUCUUCACUGAACUGUCUUUCUGAAUUUUCUUGUAACUCAUUGAGUUUAUGACAGCUAUCUUGUAUUCUCUAUCAGAUUGUUAACUGUGACUUCAAGUUUGGUUUUUGGAGAGUUGUCAUUGUCUUUCUUUUCUGUUGUUUUACUGUAGUUCUCCAUGGUGUUUGAUGAAUUGAUCCUCUGCCAGCCCAUUUGUGGUAGUAACCAUCUUUUCUUAAUUGGGUAUGGCUUUGGAACUUUGAUUCUGGGUUGUAUUCAGGUCUCUCCUUGUACUGCCUUGUGAACUUGAGGUUGCUGGUGCUUUGCUGCUUAUGAUAUCACUGCAGUCUUAUGUGCUGCCACCAAGGUCACAAGGCUGUGAAAACUUCCACUGAUUCAGGGGCUGCCUGGGUCUUUUGUUCCUCCACUUUCUCUCUGUUGGGUCUCCAAGGGCUUGGAUGCUGCUACCACGUGCACCACCUGUGCAGCUGCUUCUGGGUUGUCUGGAGGUGCUGGUUACACCACUGCCAAGGGUACUGUGUUCACAGGUAUUGCUGUUGAUGGACACCUCUGGAGCUUGGGAUUUGAAUGCAGCCCUCGCUGCUGGUGAUGCUAGUGUUGGGGUUACCAACACUAGGGGCUGAGUCAUGGCUUCUGCUGUGGUUCCUGAAGCCUUUUGUUACAGUUUCAAACUGCCACCACUGGAGAGAAGCAGGGGCUGUAUUUUCUGUUCCUUCUGCAUCUGCUCACAGUCACACAAGCAGGGGCACCAGCUGCCUCCUCUCCACUGGCAGUCAUUUGGGUCAGUACACCCACUGCUUCUAGUAACAGUCGUGUGAGCCACUGCAUGAGGAUCUGCACCCUGGAUUGCUGCCAUUGGGGGGGGGGGCUGAUCCCCUAGUUCUCUUGACUCCUGGGGGUCUAGACCACACACGUUCAGAUGUAUAGAUUCAUGGAUCUCUUACGUGUCAUAUUGUUCUGUAUAAGGAAUCCUUUGUUGGCCAAUGAAUGUCCAAUUUGUUGUAACUUAGAAGUGAGAGGCAAGGGAACAAUUCACUUCACCGUGAUGCAGACAUCACUCCUUUACAGAAUUUUUUAACUAGAAAAUAGUCGUUCAGUUUUUCUCUUGCUAUCAUUUCUUAGUUUUAUUCUUUACUCUGUUUUUUACCCAAGGGAACUCCAGACUGCUAGUAACUUGGAAAACCAAGUAUACAGGGAGGGUGUAGAAGAGAAGAGAGAGGCGAGGGUUAUGACAGAAGACCUUUAGCUACUCUCCAUUUUCUCCCCAAUUCUUCCUUUCAUGACCUCAGCCAGACCACACCAAGCCUGUACUGCACUGCUUAUGAGCUUUACCUUCCUCUGUUGUAUAAGGGAAGCUUGCAGGUGCUGUUAACUUUUAUGGAACGGCACAUUUAUGAUACAUACACUUUUGUAUGUCUAUUUUACUUGCAUAAAAAGUUCAGUAAGCAAAUAAAGUGAUCCUGAGGAAAUCUCAAAGGAUAUCACCAAUUAGAAGAUGGUGGCACCACAUUACCAACGUCAUUCUGUCCCUCUCCUGUUCUCUCCUCUCUUCUCAGCUUGUCUCCUCUUCUCGCCUCUUCUCUUUUCCUGAAAUUAGAAUGUUCAGAGCAGAUGAUUUAAUUUUGCCUUAAAAGUAACUAAGUGUUAUUUUUCCUGAAAGUCGUGCUGUUUAGCAUUAAAAUAGUACUUAAUAUAUGGAUUUGUCAUUGGGAUAAGGAGAAGCUUCUGCACAAGAAGCAGACAUAAACAAAGUGACUUCAGAAAACAAAGAUUGGUUAUUAAUUUACUCCAGUUAAUUACUCCAAGAGAGCUGCUAUUAGCUCUCUGUGAUAAUUGGCCUACGUUCUAGGGAAUUAUGGGAGCCAUAUAGUCCUGCUUUUAGAUCUUUUUACAAAUUCUAGCUGUGUAAAUUGUCAUGCAAGAUUUCUUCAGUCGAGUAGACAGGAAAUAGCCCUGAGUUUCUUCUUGAACUUAUCUCCAAAAGUAGUGCAGAUGUAUUGAAAUGUGGGCCCCACCUGGUGGUAACAUGGGAAAACCACAAGUGUGGAUCUGGGAGCAGGGAUUACUUAAGUGUAUGGACCUGAUGCCACUUGCUUAGAGACUGGAGUAACAUUACAUCCCUGAGAAAAGUGUGUGUGUCUGUGUAUCUUUGUCUACCACCUCAGUCUCAAGAUAUGCACAUCUGUGUCCUUUGUUAUUUUUUCCUCCUGACCUUAGCAGUGUCUGUUUUGUGCUUGGGGUGGGUCUUAAGUACUCGUUGUUUUCAGUAUGACUUCUUUUAAGAAAAUUCCCGAAUUAACCUUCCUCCUGUGAAUCAGGUGUAGGACUGCAUGUGUACAUGAGAGGCACACAUACAGAGCAAUACCUUUUUUUCCUUCUUUUUCCUUUCAUUAGGCCCUGCCUUAGUCCAUAAAUUAGUUCCUCAUUAUCAUAUAGAUGUGUUGAUUGAUGAUCCUUGUCUUUGUAAUAUGCUACAGCUACAAUCCCACUCAGUCAACAGUUAAGUUAUUCUUUCUAAGACACCCCUCUUAUCCACAAAUUCUCCCUAAUUUUCAGU
rnacentral:lncRNA from 1 species